UACAGAGGGUGCGAGCGUUAAUCGGAAUUACGGGGCGUAAAGCGCGCGUAGGCGGCUUUGCAAGUCGAGUGUGAAAUCCCCAGGCUUAACCUGGGAACUGCAUUCGAGACUGCAUAGCUAGAGUAUGGGAGAGGGAAGUGGAAUUUCAGGUGUAGCGGUGAAAUGCGUAGAUAUCUGAAGGAACAUCAGUGGCGAAAGCGACUCCCUGGACCAAUACUGACGCUCAUGUGCGAAAGCGUGGGGAGCAAACAGG
rnacentral:rRNA from 1 species